UACGUAGGGGGCUAGCGUUGUCCGGAAUCAUUGGGCGUAAAGAGCGUGUAGGCGGUCCGGUAAGUCCGCUGUGAAAGUCGGGGGCUCAACCCUCGAAUGCCGGUGGAUACUGUCGGGCUAGAGUGCGGAAGAGGCGAGUGGAAUUCCUGGUGUAGCGGUGAAAUGCGCAGAUAUCAGGAGGAACACCUAUUGCGAAGGCAGCUCGCUGGGACGUAACUGACGCUGAGACGCGAAAGCUAGGGGAGCGAACGGG
rnacentral:rRNA from 1 species